rnacentral:rRNA from 1 species
UGGCUCAGAUUGAACGCUGGCGGCAGGCCUAACACAUGCAAGUCGAGCGGAUGACGAGAGCUUGCUCUCUGAUUCAGCGGCGGACGGGUGAGUAAUGCCUAGGAAUCUGCCUGGUAGUGGGGGACAACGUCUCGAAAGGGACGCUAAUACCGCAUACGUCCUACGGGAGAAAGCAGGGGACCUUCGGGCCUUGCGCUAUCAGAUGAGCCUAGGUCGGAUUAGCUAGUUGGUGAGGUAAUGGCUCACCAAGGCGACGAUCCGUAACUGGUCUGAGAGGAUGAUCAGUCACACUGGAACUGAGACACGGUCCAGACUCCUACGGGAGGCAGCAGUGGGGAAUAUUGGACAAUGGGCGAAAGCCUGAUCCAGCCAUGCCGCGUGUGUGAAGAAGGUCUUCGGAUUGUAAAGCACUUUAAGUUGGGAGGAAGGGUUGUAGAUUAAUACUCUGCAAUUUUGACGUUACCGACAGAAUAAGCACCGGCUAACUCUGUGCCAGCAGCCGCGGUAAUACAGAGGGUGCAAGCGUUAAUCGGAAUUACUGGGCGUAAAGCGCGCGUAGGUGGUUUGUUAAGUUGGAUGUGAAAGCCCCGGGCUCAACCUGGGAACUGCAUUCAAAACUGACAAGCUAGAGUAUGGUAGAGGGUGGUGGAAUUUCCUGUGUAGCGGUGAAAUGCGUAGAUAUAGGAAGGAACACCAGUGGCGAAGGCGACCACCUGGACUGAUACUGACACUGAGGU